GUGGGGAAUAUUGGACAAUGGGGGGAACCCUGAUCCAGCCAUGCCGCGUGUGUGAAGAAGGCCUUUUGGUUGUAAAGCACUUUACGCGAGGAGGAGGCUACCGAGAUUAAUACUCUUGGAUAGUGGACGUUACUCGCAGAAUAAGCACCGGCUAACUCUGUGCCAGCAGCCGCGGUAAUACAGAGGGUGCAAGCGUUAAUCGGAUUUACUGGGCGUAAAGCGCGCGUAGGUGGCCAAUUAAGUCAAAUGUGAAAUCCCCGAGGUUAACUUGGGAAUUGCAUUCGAUACUGGUUGGCUAGAGUAUGGGAGAGGAUGGUAGAAUUCCAGGUGUAGCGGUGAAAUGCGUAGAGAUCUGGAGGAAUACCGAUGGCGAAGGCAGCCAUCUGGCCUAAUACUGACACUGAGGUGCGAAAGCAUGGGGAGCAAACAGGAUUAGAUACCCGGGUAGUCC
rnacentral:rRNA from 1 species